UGGGGAAUAUUGCACAAUGGGGGAAACCCUGAUGCAGCGACGCCGCGUGAACGAAGAAGGUAUUCGUAUCGUAAAGUUCUGUCCUAUGGGAAGAUAAUGACAGUACCAUAGAAGAAAGCUCCGGCUAAAUACGUGCCAGCAGCCGCGGUAAUACGUAUGGAGCGAGCGUUGUCCGGAAUUAUUGGGCGUAAAGGGUACGCAGGCGGUUUAAUAAGUCGAAUGUUAAAGAUCGGGGCUCAACCCCGCAAAGCAUUGGAAACUGAUAAACUUGAGUAGUGGAGAGGAAAGUGGAAUUCCUAGUGUAGUGGUGAAAUACGUAGAUAUUAGGAGGAAUACCAGUAGCGAAGGCGACUUUCUGGACACGAACUGACGCUGAGGUACGAAAGCGUGGGGAGCAAACAGG
rnacentral:rRNA from 1 species